rfam:Aedes aegypti strain Liverpool supercont1.26 genomic scaffold, whole genome shotgun sequence.
UCCUUAGUUUCUCCUAUCCCUACCUCCUUGCGGUACUGGCCGGGAUACGCGUAACCUUAGGGAAGG